UACAGGGGGGGCAAGCGUUGUUCGGAAUUACUGGGCGUAAAGGGGUAGUAGGCGGCCAACUAAGUCCGACGUGAAAUCCCAAGGCUUAACCUUGGAACUGCGUCGGAUACUGGAUGGCUUGGAUUCGGGAGAGGAAUGCGGAAUUCCAGGUGUAGCGGUGAAAUGCGUAGAUAUCUGGAGGAACACCGGUGGCGAAGGCGGCAUUCUGGACCGAUAUUGACGCUGAGGAGCGAAAGCCAGGGGGGCAAACGGG
rnacentral:rRNA from 1 species